rnacentral:rRNA from 1 species
GAUGAACGCUGGCGGCGUGCUUAACACAUGCAAGUCGAACGGAAAGGCCCAAGCUUGCUUGGGUACUCGAGUGGCGAACGGGUGAGUAACACGUGGGUGAUCUGCCCUGCACUUCGGGAUAAGCCUGGGAAACUGGGUCUAAUACCGGAUAGGACCACUUCUUGGAUGUUGUGGUGGAAAGUUUUUUCGGUGUGGGAUGAGCUCGCGGCCUAUCAGCUUGUUGGUGGGGUAAUGGCCUACCAAGGCGUCGACGGGUAGCCGGCCUGAGAGGGUGUACGGCCACAUUGGGACUGAGAUACGGCCCAGACUCCUACGGGAGGCAGCAGUGGGGAAUAUUGCACAAUGGGCGCAAGCCUGAUGCAGCGACGCCGCGUGGGGGAUGACGGCCUUCGGGUUGUAAACUCCUUUCGCUAGGGACGAAGCGUUUUGGGACGGUACCGGGAGAAGAAGCACCGGCUAACUACGU